UACAACGUAUUUUUAAUUAAAUUAUCUUAGUAGUCAUUGAUCAGUCCAAGAAAAGUAGAUUAGGUAUAACCAGUGAUAAACUAAGACAUGGUAAAACCGGAGCUGAGAUUGUAAGGAAGAGUCAAUGUUCUAGUUCCAUGAGUGUGACUUCUUCGAAUAUUAUGCUUGAAGGCUGUUUAUAACAUGUACAAAAUUCUACUAAUCAUCUAAAGGGCUUUAGCAAUUAAAUUUUGAUUUCAUCAUUUGUGAUUCGAGAUAUUUAAACACAAACAGCCAAAAAAUAAUCAAGGUACUAAAAUGUUU
rnacentral:lncRNA from 1 species